rnacentral:rRNA from 1 species
UACAGGGGGUGCAAACGUUGCUCGGAAUCAUUGGGCGUAAAGCGCACGUAGGCGGUUCGUUAUGUCGGAUGUGAAAGCCCUUGGCUUAACCGAGGAAGUGCAUCCGAAACUGGCGGGCUAGAGUACGAAAGAGGAUCGCGGAAUUCCCGGUGUAGAGGUGAAAUUCGUAGAUAUCGGGAGGAACACCGGUGGCGAAGGCGGCGAUCUGGGUCGAUACUGACGCUGAGGUGCGAAAGCGUGGGGAGCAAACAGG